UACGUAGGUGGCAAGCGUUGUCCGGAAUUAUUGGGCGUAAAGCGCGCGCAGGCGGUCCUUUAAGUCUGAUGUGAAAGCCCACGGCUCAACCGUGGAGGGUCAUUGGAAACUGGGGGACUUGAGUGCAGAAGAGGAAAGCGGAAUUCCAGGUGUAGCGGUGAAAUGCGUAGAUAUCUGGAGGAACACCGGUGGCGAAGGCGGCAUCCUGGACCGGUAUUGACGCUGAGGCGCGAAAGCUAGGGGAGCAAACGGG
rnacentral:rRNA from 1 species